rnacentral:lncRNA from 1 species
UUUUGCAGUAGUCUCUUGCCUCGCCUUCUUCGUCGUCACGGAAUCAGACCUUGAGCCGCCACAUUUUCUUUCCGGUGGCUUCAGCUGCCACGGCCAUCGCCGCGCAUAUAGGAUCCUAAAUUUUCUCUCUUUUUUGAAACUGUCGACGCCGUUACCGCCCUUAAAAUGCCACAUCUCCUUCUCCGAAAACCUGCCGCAAGGCCACCGCGUCGUGGCUGACCGCCUUUGCAAAAACCAACAUAGGCUCGCCGCCGGAUAAUUACACAUCGGCGCUGAACAAGUCCUUAUGUUCUUCAAUGCUUAGCGUUGUGAGUAUACAUAUUUUUUGAAACGUUAAUUUCUGGUAAAUUUAGGUUUUAUGUUUUGUGGAUCUGAUGAAUUUCUUUAGAAACUUAUGAGUAUGAGAUUGGGAAUUGGGGUUGAAUACUCUGAUGCAUUUUUCAUAUAUCUGAAGAUGGGUAGAUUUGAUUUGUGUAGAAAGAGGUGAGUAUUAAGAAUAUGACUCCUAAUCUUAAUGUCAUUGUUUGAUGAUAUUUUGUUUUAUUUAAACUUUGAGUUGUCAAUUAUUGUGAACAGAUGUGCUCCAUAUUUAGUUCUCAAUGACUCCACAUUUUUUGUUUUCAAUUCACAUUUAAUCCCAUUAUUGAAAUCUUUUAUUUGAGAUUGUUAUAUUUUUAUUACAUUAUUAUUGUACAUUUAACGUACUUUUUAAUUUUUAAUAUGUAAGGUAUCGGGUUCUUGAGUUCUUGAUGCAUACAAGCUCUGAAUAAUGAGUCAUCAACAAAAGGAUUUGUGAAAUUAGAGAUCUCUAGUGAAGUCAUUGAAACUUCUUUGGUAAUGAUAAUUUUUUUUAAUUUAUAUUUUUCAAGGUAUGAUUCAUGUUAGUAUUUUAAUAUUUUUUUUAUCAAUUUUAUGAAAUUAGAUGAAUAAUCUAGCUAGAUGAAAACAACACAAACAAUCAUCUGGGUGAUGCAAGAUUUAAAAAAAAAAUUCUGGGUGAUGCCUUUUGUAGAGGCUAAAAUCUACAAUUGAGGAUGACAUCUGCACGUCCGUAUAGAUUGGGCACUAGCAACCUAUCAACGCAAGAAUACGUAAGAGCCCUAGGUUGAGCACCGGGAGGGGGUGUCAACCGUAGAGCCUCCGACGUUCAAGUCAGUAACGGAAUAGCAAAAUAGAAUGACAAAUGAAUUGAAAUAAGAAAGAAAGACAGGUUGGAAUGUUUAGUUAUUCCAAGGUGUCAGUAGCGUGGGAGGGUGGGAACGGUGACGGCGAAUUGUGAUAAUGGAAGGUGGGAGGCAGAGAUAGGCCAAGUUGGCUAUCUCCGAUUUUGAAGAGCGAUCAGCGUGGUGGCAGAAUAGAGAGAAUUCAAGAAGUAGAUAGCAAGUAGGAUUUUCUGUGUCACCCUUUAUACCCUAGUCUGGAUGUUUAUAUAGAGGACAUCCAGCCGCUAAGGUUUCUACAGUCUGGCCUCGUCAUUGCCCUUAUCUCCCAGGUUGUUGCGAUUUGGACGGGAUCAUAAAGAUUUUUCCUCUAACUGUAGUUUGGUGGGAGAUAUCUUUUAGGGUCUGACGGCUGGGAGACGUCUUCUAAGGUUUGACGGCUAGGUCUUGUAAUUCGUCAAUCUAGGUUGACAAUACUCCUUGGGCCGCAUGCGGUAUAUGCAGCUUGGUUAUGGAUUCAAGUCGAUCCAUAGCUUUCCGGGCUAGAUGGGUCAAUCUGUUUGAUUAAUUGGGCCUUUUAGGGUCAUGCUAGAUUGGGGAGUUAGCUGCGCGGGCUAGCUUGAUGGGCCAGGCUGAGUGUGAAUUAUUCAGCCUGGCUCAGACAAGCUGGUCUUGAAGUGAAGUAUUCACCCUGAGUUAGUUCGGAUAUGUCUUAAUAAAUAUAAUUUGACUUAUCGGGUUGGGCGAACAAGUUUUCUUGAGUAAUUGGAUUAUCAUCGUUAUCGACCCAAGUUGGUCUGAAGCUUCUCGAACUGGAUGGACCGGAUUGCUUGACUCAUUGAAUCAUCUUGGAUUGUUAAUUGGUCUCGAGCCAGGUUGACGGAUUUUGCCCACUAUAGUUAGCCCCCCACUCUACAAUUAGAAUUUUUUAAUUGGAGAGUUAAUUUGUUAUAGCUAUUCCGUAUAUGUUUUCAAUGAUAUCAAUGUGCCAAUCCGCCAUAUCAUCCUAACAAUAGGAAUCAUCUGAACUUCUCAUAUGCGAAUCCGAACAAUGCCUUGCAG